rnacentral:rRNA from 1 species
CCUACGGGGGGCAGCAGUGGGGAAUAUUGGGCAAUGGGCGCAAGCCUGACCCAGCAACGCCGCGUGAAGGAAGAAGGCUUUCGGGUUGUAAACUUCUUUUCUGAGGGACGAAGAAAGUGACGGUACCUCAGGAAUAAGCUACGGCUAACUACGUGCCAGCAGCCGCGGUAAUACGUAGGUGGCAAGCGUUAUCCGGAUUUAUUGGGUGUAAAGGGCGUGUAGGCGGGAAAGCAAGUCAGAUGUGAAAACUCAGGGCUCAACUCUGAGCCUGCAUUUGAAACUGUUUAUCUUGAGUGCUGGAGAGGCAAUCGGAAUUCCGUGUGUAGCGGUGAAAUGCGUAGAUAUACGGAGGAACACCAGUGGCGAAGGCGAAUUGCUGGACAGUAACUGACGCUGAGGAGCGAAAGCGUGGGGAGCAAACAGGAUUAGAUACCCCAGUAGUC